GUUUAGGCAUCUAAGAGGAAGCGAUUUAUUCUGACAUUUUUCCUAGGGUUGUGUAAUCGGCUUAUCUUAUACUAAGAGGCAUUAUCUGUCCUGCACUUCAUCCUCGUAGCGAAAUGGAAAUAUUGCUCGCAUUAAUUCUUUCCAAAUUUCAAAAUCAUGAUGCAUUCCUUCCCCUCCCUCCCCCUCCCCCUCUUCUUCACAUAUCCGCAUCUAUUUAUCAAAUUUCAGUAGGUUUUCUAAAUAUUUGCUGAAAGAACUUAUCAAGUACCAAUUGCCAGGUAAAAAGAGGAAGAGGGAGCUUAUCAUAUCGGAACCAUAUCCAGAAUCUGAGUAUUAUCCUAGUUGUAAUAUUCCAAAACCAGAUCAAGAGAGACUGGAGAGAAAGGCUGCUUAUGAACAAUCUAAGAAUGAUAUUACCAAGUGGGAACCUUCGGUCAAGAGAAACAGAGAGGCACCUACUUUAUAUUUUGAUGAGGAUGUAGACUUGGGAUUUUCAGGCGUAGGAGCAAUUGCUUCUGAAUUUGAACCCAGAAUUGAUUUCGAGAAGAAAAUUGCUUCCUUAGUGAAUGAUACUGAGGUCGUGGAAGCUCACAAAAAGAUGGUGCCAGGCUUCUUGAACUGAACAAGGUAAGGAGGUCAUAUUUAUACAUUCUGGCAUUCCAUAUAAAAAUGUAUGAUUGAUCCUCAUUUAUGGUUAUUGUUUUUAUGUGCUAUUCUAUUAUUGUAAAAGCAGCACAAAUGAUGAUAAAUAAAUAAGUUUCCUUUCUUGAUGCCAUUUUGUAGAUAUCCGUUGAAGAUGUGAAAGAUCGUCAGGCCCGAUUGGCUAAAAUGUGUAGUCUACUUUUCCGUCAUGAAACGAAGGUGAAGCGAAUAAAAAAGAUCAAGUCCAAAACCUAUCACCGCUUGUUGAAGAAAGAUAGAUCGAAAGCAUUCGAAGCUGAGAUUCAAUUGAAUCCAGAAGCUGCUAAAGACCUUGCAAUGAAACAAGAGUUCAAAAGAGCUGAGGUAUUGGAAUAUCUACGACAUGAUGUGAUUACUUCAGGAGUUGGGGUUAACUUUUGAUUUCAUUUUCGAUUCUUGAGAAUCAGCUGGUGCUUACAAUCCUUCUUGUUUCACGCAAGAAUGCAUAACUCUAAAACACAAAAACAGCUCCAAAAGGGCGAAGCGCAUCUUAAAAUGUGGUUUGGAUGUCCAAGAUGAAGGAACCCGAACAGCUUCGUCAACAUGCUACUUUGACCAGAAAAAUGAAAUCUAUGAAAGAUAGAAGUAGUAGCGAUGAGAGUACUGACAAUGAUGACAUUGAGGAAAUCUCAUAUGGUUCUGAUCAGGAUAUUGCAUCAAAACUGUUCAUGACAGCAAAAGAGAAGACACUUGAAGUGCUGGAAGGGGAUGAAGAAGUGCCUAAAUCUGGAGUGUUUUGUUUACCAUUUAUGGUAUGUUAUGUGCAUUUUUCAUUUCAAAAAUAGUAUAAUAUAAUGUAACAUAUUUAUAUGCUCGUUUACUUGAACAGGUACGUGGGUUGAAAAAGAGAAAAGAGGUUGUUGAUGAGGAAGCAAGGCUGUACAACUUAAUAAUUCGUGGGUUGUACAUUUUUUUUUAUUCUUUGUAGUACUUAGAGAUUUUAUGAUUUUGACC
rnacentral:lncRNA from 1 species